CGGGGGUCAUGAUGGGCAGCAAGAUGGCUUCCGCCACCAGGGUCGUGCAGGUAGUGAAGCCACAUGCUCCGUUAAUAAAGUUCCCUAACAGAAGAGACAAACCUAAGCUCAGUGCGUGGGGGUCCAGAGUGAUCGUCGUUGUGGCUGCUGCUUGUGACCAGGCAGAAGGAUUAGCUUUACAAUAAAGGACUUCCACAAUGUCAAAUGAAAAGUCACAUAUUAAACAACCUUAAUAAAUGUUCUGUAAGCAGAAUGAAGUAUAGAAACUCCAGGCGGUCACUUGAAUCUCCUACCUUAUGUAUCUUGGUCACUUCCCCACAAGCUGGCCUAUACACUUACGAAAGUCUACAUUUUUAAAUGCUAGCUUGUUAACUUACUCUUGAUUAUGAAGUGUUACCGGUGAUGAGCUAUUAAAAGCACAUGGUAUCU
rnacentral:lncRNA from 1 species